rnacentral:rRNA from 1 species
UGGGGAAUCUUGGACAAUGGGCGCAAGCCUGAUCCAGCCAUGCCGCGUGAGUGAAGAAGGCCUUAGGGUUGUAAAACUCUUUCGCCGGAGAAGAUAAUGACGGUAUCCGGAGAAGAAGCCCCGGCUAACUUCGUGCCAGCAGCCGCGGUAAUACGAAGGGGGCUAGCGUUGUUCGGAAUUACUGGGCGUAAAGCGUACGUAGGCGGAUUUGUAAGUAGGGGGUGAAAUCCCCAGGCUCAACCUGGGAACUGCCUUCUAGACUGCAAGUCUUGAGAUCAGGAGAGGCGAGUGGAAUUCCGAGUGUAGAGGUGAAAUUCGUAGAUAUUCGGAGGAACACCAGUGGCGAAGGCGACUCGCUGGACUGAUACUGACGCUGAGGUACGAAAGCGUGGGGAGCAAACAGGAUUAGAUACCCUGGUAGUCCACGCCUUAAACGAUGAGAGCUAGUGUCAGUAAGCAUGCUUAUUGGUGACGCAGCUAACGCAUUAAG